rnacentral:rRNA from 1 species
GGUACACGCUGUGACUAGCAUAUCAAUAAGCGGAGGAAAAGAAACUAACAAGGAUUCCCCUAGUAACGGCGAGUGAAGCGGGAAGAGCUCAAAUUUGAAAUCUUAAAGGGUUUCCCUUUACGAAUUGUAGUUUAAAGAAGUGUUUUCUGUUGAGGUUUUGGUAAAAGUUCUUUGGAAUAGGACAUCAUAGAGGGUGAGAAUCCCGUAUUUGACCUUUACUUUCAACUUUGUGAUACACUUUCAAAGAGUCGGAUUGUUUGGGAAUGCAGUCCAAAAUGGGUGGUAAAUUUCAUCUAAAGCUAAAUAUUGGCGAGAGACCGAUAGCGAACAAGUACCGUGAGGGAAAGAUGAAAAGAACUUUGAAAAGAGAGUUAAACAGUACGUGAAAUUGUCAAAAGGGAAGCGUUUGACACCAGUGUUGUUUUUCUGAAAAUCAAUUAAAGAACUGUUUAUGCUAAGUUGUUUAGACUUUAUCAGCUAACUGUUUAGUUUUGAGCUUUUCUUUAAUGCACUUUUCAGUUAACAAGUCAACAUCAAUUUCUUUUGCUGUAAAAAAGCUUGAGGAAGGUGGCUUGAGAUUCGUCUUAAGUGUUUAUAGCCUCUUGCCUAUGCAGUCGGAGAGAUUGAGGUCUGCAGCGUAGAUCCUUCGGGGCUAAAUGCAUUUGUGCUAAGUUAUAGCAUUUUAUAGACAACUUGUUGACUAUGAUUUGUCUUGUAGCUUACUCGCUUAUGUUAUAUUACCUACGCUUAGGAUGUUGACAGCAGUAUAGACUGU